ACGAACGCUGGCGGCUGCUUAACACAUGCAAGUCGAACGGAGUGGCGAACGGGUGAGUAACUCGUGAGCAACUUGCCUAUGACAUUGGGAUAGCCUCGGGAAACCGGGAUUAAUACCGCAUAGUCAUAGAUGGGCUCGCGUCUGAUUAGCUAGUUGGUGAGGUAACAGCCCACCAAGGCGACGAUCAGUAGCCGGUCUGAAGGGAUGAACGGCCAAAUUGGAACUGAGUCACGGUCCAAACUCUUACGGGAGGCAGCAGUGGGGAAUAUUGCACAAUGGGGGAAACCCUGAGGCAGCGACGCCGCGUGAACGAAGAAGGUAUUCGUAUCGUAAAGUUCUGUCCUAUGGGAAGCAGUACCAUAGAAGAAAGCUCCGGCGAAAUACGUGCCAGCAGCCGCGGUAAUUC
rnacentral:rRNA from 1 species